CCAAAAUUCAAAUACACAAUGGAUUUAUGGGCGCAGAUUUUCAGCUUCCUGCUAAUCAGUGUCACAGUCAUAAUGUCCAGAGGCGAAAAUGUGCUCACCCAGACUCCAGCAAUAAUGGCUGCCUCUCUGGGGGAGAAGGUCACCAUGACCUGCAGUGCCAGCUCAAGUGUAAGUUCCAGUUACUUGCACUGGUACCAGCAAAAGUCAGGCGCUUCUCCCAAACUCUUGAUUUAUAGAACAUCCAACCUGGCUUCUGGAGUCCCAGCUCGCUUCAGUGGCAGUGGGUCUGGGACCUCUUACUCUCUCACAAUCAGCAGUGUGGAGGCUGAAGAUGAUGCCACUUAUUUCUGCCAGCAGUGGAGUGGUUACCCAUUCACACAGUGCUACAGACUGGAACAAAAAACCUCAAAGUCCUUAGGGCCCAGUUACUUCCUUCUAGAGAUAAAAUGUGGCCAUUGGUUUGAUUGCAGUAGUCCACACAGGGUGUUCUGCUUCACAAAGUCAUUUGCAUCUUUGGAUGAAUGUCUUUUUAAUAAUCCACUGUUUUCUCAUUCUUCAUUUUUAUGA